rnacentral:rRNA from 1 species
CACUAGGGCCUCUGUUUCUMMCCAAGMCUUCUUAASSAAGCGAACUAGGUUUGAGCCUAGCUAGAGGAGAAAUGCUACAGUCUUUUGUGCGUGCAGUGGCAGGUAGGCCUGGUUACUCACGCUUCACUACAAAGCGCCUGCUGCCAUUGCGGCAACCACUAGUUUGGUAGACCACCUCGGUCUGCCCUAGCUUGGCUGCUGGAGUACGAACGUUUCGUGCGCGAGAGGGUCGACUCGAUACCGGGGCAUGGUCUUCUGCUUACGAGGCGUGAGCUAGUUUUACCACCCGGACCCUUCUGAACUUGAAGGCUGGAGUGCGAAUAGUUCGCGCGCGAGAUUGGUUGACUCGAUGUUCGGGGAUUGUGCUCUCUGUACGGCCGCGCGUGCGCUGCGAAUCAGCCACGUGGCGUGUCGCGAGUCGGGGACCGCGCACAARCAGGCGCUUCUUUCUCUUUGCUUCUGCCGCUUUAGGGCGGUUACCUCGAGUUGUUAGGACUUUGACAACCGGGGACUUACAAAGAUUUUGCUAGGCUAUCUAUCGCACUCGACUARYUCC